GUUCUUCCCAUUGUGUAGAUGCUCCUUGACUUAUGAUGAGGUUACAUUCCAAUAAACCUAUUUAACUUAAUGGUUUAAAUUGAUGUCAUAUUGAAAGACAAAAUUUCCACAAGAAGAGACACUUUGAAUACAGAAAAUUCUCAAAAAUGCCUCUCUCAAUCAAGUUCCAUCUUGUGAUACUUUUACUCUCACCUUCGUAGGCCUAUCAGUUCACUUAUUCUGAGAAAUCAACUUGGAAUAUCAAGGAGUGAAACAGAUUGGCUAAGGUACUCAAAAACAUAACAACUGGUGCCCACUUCUUUACUUUGUCAUAACUAAACAAGGCAUCCGAAUAACCUGUUAUAGAAGCAAAAUUAUCUUCAAGGUGACUCUCCAUCCAUUUCUGUAUUAUAAGACAUUGCUAAUCAAUCAUGCUCCGUGCACCACCUCUGGAAGCACUCGCAAUCCUUUUGAACACAGUCUUCUGGGAAGCUGCUCUGAUAUUAGACCUGACAGAAGAUGA
rnacentral:lncRNA from 1 species